rnacentral:snRNA from 1 species
GGAUGUGAGGGUGAUCUGGCUGCAACAUCUGUUACCCCAUUGAUUACCAGGGUUGAGUCAAUAGAUCUGGCUAGCUAGACAGUUUCCCUCUUCUUCCCUCCCCUCCCAAAGCUGCACACUAGGAACAAGAGGACGAACUUCCCUAAAGGGGAAGGGGCUUUGGUCAAGGGUAUACAAGUAGCUGUGCUCCCCUUCUAGAACCUCUAAACAAGCUCUCAAUAAUUCUUUUGUUGCUGACAGAUGCUGGACCCUGUUAUGUUUCUCUGCUCCUAGCUCCCACCUAUAUUCCUAGGUUCACUUCUGACAUGAAUAUGUCUGUCGGUUAUU